GAGAUUUUGCUGUAACUGUGUU
rnacentral:snRNA from 1 species